CCAAACUUGGUCAUUUAGAGGAAGUAAAAGUCGUAACAAGGUCUCCGUUGGUGAACCAGCGGAGGGAUCAUUACAAGAGCCUAAAAACUCACAAACCCUUUGUCUAUAUACCUUUUAGUUGCUUUGGCAGGCGGUCCCAGGGCGGGACCUCCGGCCUCCUAGCGAGGUGCCUGCCAGAGGACCACCAAAAUUCGUUCUGUUUUAGUGAUCUGAGUCUGAAGACAAAUAAGUAAAAACUUUCAACAACGGAUCUCUUGGUUCUGGCAUCGAUGAAGAACGCAGC
rnacentral:misc_RNA from 1 species